AGGACGAACGCUGGCGGCGUGCUUAACACAUGCAAGUCGAGCGGAAAGGCCCUUCGGGGUACUCGAGCGGCGAACGGGUGAGUAACACGUGAGUAACCUGCCCCUAGCUUCGGGAUAGCUCCGGGAAACCGGAAUUAAUACCGGAUACGACGGCGGCCGACAUCGGCCGUGGUGGAAAGAUUUAUCGGCUAGGGAUGGGCUCGCGGCCUAUCAGCUUGUUGGUGGGGUAACUGCCUACCAAGGCGACGACGGGUAG
rnacentral:rRNA from 1 species